AGUCUUUAGACCUUCUUGAUCAGGAUGCACUGUGUUCCUAGCCGAAGGACAGCAUCUGGGUGAAUGUGGCUUGGGCGUGAGGUUGCAGAGGAGGGAUCCACUCAGGGCAGGUCAUAGCAGCGCUCGCUGUCUUGAGUUCAGAUCAUCUUUAGUAAAGUGGGGCAAAGUGGGGCCUGAAUCCCUUGGCUGAGGCAGGAACCUGGAUUGCUUGGGUGAAGGAGAGUCAAUCUGAGUCUGUUUUUCUUUGGAUGUAGUAGCCAGAAUACAACUCGCUGCAGCUAAAACCUGCAGUUUCUGGGGUUGAAGGAGUAGGUUUUAUUUCCUUCUUCCACUAGCCAGAGUUACCAGGCCCAGGGAGGUGAAGGUAGUGCACCUGGUCAGUCAGAGUUGUAAAGCCAGUGUGACUUCCAGAGCAUUCCCAUGCUUCCUCCUUCCUGUCUUCUCAGAACACUAUCCUUUUUCAGGAAAACAGCCCCAAAGAGGACUGAUCCUCUCCUGCAAUACUGACAGCCAUGGCCCAGGGAUCAGUGGUGUUCAGUGAUGUGUCCGUAGACUUCUCUCAGGAGGAGUGGGAGGGCCUGGACCCUGCUCACAGGGACUUGUACAGGGAUGUGAUGCUGGAGAACUACAGCAACCUGGUGUCCGUGGGGAAAGAGCCCUGGGUCGUUGGCAGAGAGCUGACUAGAGGACUGUGUUCAGUAUAAAGAAGUAAAGGCGCAAGAAGCACAUGGUUAUUGAAAAUGCUUCAGAAGGCAAAAUAAAAGAUACAAUGAGAUCUCUGUGACCUGGAGGAAAGCCCUCUUCCAAUUGUGCUGGUGCUCCAGUCUCAAAUUUCCAGACUUGAGAACUGCUCAACAAGAUUCAAGAGGAGGGACCAUUGGCUUUCUCCCCAACUCAAAGAACAUGUGUGAGAUGGGGAGAUUGUGACUAUUUGGAAAAAAUAAGCAGCCACAACACUCUUGCCAGAAGCACAUUGUGUAGGAGAUAGCUUUUUCUGCUCUUGAUUUUGGAUUUGCCCAUGUGACUUGCUUUGGCCAAGGGGCCAGCUUCCAUCUGGGUAUUUCUUGCGACUCUUGCCUUAGAACCUUGAGCUGCAAUGUAAGAUGUCUGAGGCUACCAUGCUGGUUAAGGCGACCAGACUAGACCCAUGGAAAGACCAUAUGGAGAAACACUGGUAUUACAUGAAAUAAGAGAGAUGUCCAGUUGCUCUGGAACUUCACACUGUUCCAGGUUCAGCUAUCAUGAAGUCCUGAGUCAGAACUGUCCAGCCAGUCUGAUUCUGAAUUCCUGACCCAGAUAAACCAUGGAAGUUAAUCAAUGAUAGCUGUUGUUUGAAACCAUUAACCUAGAGACAUUGAAUGUAAAGACAAUGCCAACUCAUUCAUGACACAUGACAAUAGAACUCUGACCCAUAAACUGUGGCAACCACCUCGUUUUCGGGAAGGAAACCAAGCUACAACCUUGGCAGCAAUCAGUUUGAAACACUCAGGACUUGGUGACGGCCAGCUUCCCUGUUUUUUGUGUUUUCUUUUGCCUGUGCUUCCAGUUCACGACCAACCAGAGAAAGCCCAUACCAAUUCCCAAAUCAGUAACAUAAGAUGCACUGCUCCUAGUUAAGCCCACCUCCGGCUUCUCUAUGCCAGUGACCUCCCAUCAGAGCAACCCUAGAGACGGCCCUUUUUCAUUCCGCUCUCCUGCAUGCUUUGGAGUCUCUGCCAAACACAGCUGAUAGUAGCUGUAGCGCCAGUAAUUUGAAACAACCCGUCGAUAACACGACAAGACAUUAAUUACAUACAUAACAUGUAAAAGUUUAAAAAUAUUGCAGGAAGAACAUAAUGUUCAACAUCUAUUUGGUUUUAAAAGCGGCUUAGGAAGACAUAUAUGAAAUGAUACAAGCUUAAAUAUAGCUAUGUCUGAAUGGAGAAAUUAGAGGCAUUGUUUAUUCCUGACUGUGGACAGCGCGUGGAGGCUCCAGUGUUAUGGGGUUUGGGCGCCCAGCCUCCGCAAGAGAGAUGCCCCCAGGUGAGACUCUGAGCUCACCUGUAGCGGCCUCUCCACGGCCCCGCCGCACCUUGGGGCGGGACUUCGGUCGCGCCCCCGGCCUUCGCAGGGGCUUCUGGGAAAUGAGGUUCUCGCCCCCCCCACACCCACACCACCCCGCCUCCCCCGUCCCCCUGCUCGGCCCCGGCACCUCUCUGCGCGCGGGCGGCGCGGGUUGGCCUUCUUGGCGGCGCAGGAGGGCAGAGCAGGUCUUCCGCUGCACCGCGAUCCGGGAAGGCACCGUGGCGGCCUGGGGCCUGAGACAUACACGCGCACAUCUGGAGAGGUGAAGGAAUAUUGGAAGAGAUUCUAGAAGCAUGUGUGACUAUUUAAGAGAAAUCUUUUAAUGUCUGCACCAUGAUAGGUUCUGGUGGGGCUUGGGAGAGGUGGUUAACAGGAAGCUGUGGAUAUUAAGGAACGAAAGAAAAGACCCCCCAAGGAGAGGACCCUUUGCAACUCUACUGUUUUGGCUACUUCACCACCGUGGAGGAGGAGGCAAGAGUUCUGCCUCCAGCAAUACCUCAACUAAUGAGCAACUGUUACACAGCACAUGGGACUACCAGUUUCCUCCAAUGGACUUUUUACUUAGAACACUCCCCAUUCUCUUUUGUAAGAGUCUCCACUCUGUUCUCUAGACUGCCUACGGCUUUGCAAUAGCUUGCUUCUCUUGAAUUGCAAUUCUCUUCUUUUUCUGAAUAGACCCAUUUUUCUGGUAAAAUAACUGACAGCUUUAUUUUUAUUUUUUUAUUGAAGUAUCAUCAAUAAACAAUCUUAUAAUGGUUUCAAA